UGGGGAAUAUUGCGCAAUGGGGGGAACCCUGACGCAGCCAUGCCGCGUGAAUGAAGAAGGCCUUAGGGUUGUAAAGUUCUUUCGGUAUUGAGGAAGGUUGAUGUGUUAAUAGCACAUCAAAUUGACGUUAAAUACAGAAGAAGCACCGGCUAACUCCGUGCCAGCAGCCGCGGUAAUACGGAGGGUGCGAGCGUUAAUCGGAAUAACUGGGCGUAAAGGGCACGCAGGCGGUUAUUUAAGUGAGGUGUGAAGCCCCGGGCUUAACCUGGGAAUUGCAUUUCAGACUGGGUAACUAGAGUACUUUAGGGAGGGGUAGAAUUCCACGUGUAGCGGUGAAAUGCGUAGAGAUGUGGAGGAAUACCGAAGGCGAAGGCAGCCCCUUGGGAAUGUACUGACGCUCAUGUGCGAAAGCGUGGGGAGCAAACAGGAUUAGAUACCCUGGUAGUCCACGCUGUAAACGCUGUCGAUUUGGGGGUUGGGGUUUAACUCUGGCGCCCGUAGCUAACGUGAUAAAUCGACCGCCUGGGGAGUACGGCCGCAAGGUUA
rnacentral:rRNA from 1 species